UCACUCUGCUUUUAUCCCUCUAUACAGAGUCAGACACUGUCCUUUCUGAAGAGCUCUUACCAAACCCUCCUCUCCUGUUAAUCUCUCCUCUGGCUUGAGUGUGCCAAAGAGAGGGGACUGAGGCACCUGCACGGUCCAGAGCCGUAUUUGGCAGAGGAGUGAGCAGUGGCCAGCACAAGCCUUAUCCCUGGAAAUGAUGUCAACGGUAUGGGCUUUAAGUUUUAAUAGAAAGGAGAUGGAGGGUCAAGGAAGGAGGAAAAAACCUCCCAAAGAAAGCACACUGCUGUGUUUCGAAAUGCAUCGCCUGCCUGCGAGAUUCCUUUCUCUUAUUACAGCAAUGAGCCUGCACUCUUCAGUUCUACAGCUGCAUGGUUAGAUGGAAAAGUCACUGGAUUUCUUGGAAAGUAGCUCAGUUGUACUUUGCCUGCACUCCUGGCUGCCUGUUGGUGAAGUUUACUGCUGGCAGAUGAACCUUACUUGCGUGCCACUAGUCUGAUACCCAUGGCAAAGUUUAGACUGAAGGUUCCCUUUGAUGCUAACACCCUUCGCUCUGGCUCUGCACAGACAAAACCUUCAGUGCACUAAGACUGGCUGUUGUGAUUCCCAGCUGGAGCCUUCUCAGGGCUAACAGAAAUACUGUGCCUGGUGUCUCUGCUAGAAAGCAACUGGAAGACCUCAGGUUCAACUCUGUCUCAGCAUUUCCAGUGUUCUUCUCACCCCAUGAUCUCACAGCACCAUUGCAAUGCAAGCAAAGUCUAAGGCCAUGCUUUUCAAGAGUCAUCAGGUGGAGGAAAAGCAAGUGAAGUGUCACGAGCUGACUUCUCCAGGAGCAUGGAAGUGGUUAUUGGUUUGACCGUGACAAGGCAGUAGUUAAGGAGAAGACCAAAGUGGUGCAGUGUUCCCAGAGGACACACCGAAGGCACUGGGCUACUGGAUAGCAGGCUUUGGAGGCUGAUCUUUCUUCUGAUGGUUCAAAUGUCACCAUCAACUGCUUAGCAUCCUGAUAACUCUGGAGCUAUCACAACAGAUUGGAUGGUAACAAUUAAAAUUAUGCAAACAUCAUUAAAACAGAUAUAAGGGAGUGAUGCUUGUUAAGCACUUAAUGAUCCCUUUCUCCAAGGAAUUCCAUUUCAGUUUCUCUAUGCUGCCUGAUUGCUUUGCUGCAUCCUGCAGGGUCGGGUGUUAGGGUUUUUUUUUGUGGGCUGCUACUCUGUGUCAUGCAUAUUCAGACCCUUCUCUGCAGCUCUCAUCGUGCCAAUCAAGGAUGCAAAUGGAGGGCUGUAGGACUGUGUGAUCAGAAUUUCUUGCUUGUUUGCAAGCCUGGAAAUAAUGGAGUCGAUAAGGAUCUGAUGUGUAACACUAUAAAAAUAAUGAGACCUUG